AGCAGGAUAGUAGUCAUGGAAGUUGGAAUCUGCCAAGGAGUAUGCAACAACUCACCAGCCAA
rfam:Chlorocebus sabaeus isolate 1994-021 chromosome 9, whole genome shotgun sequence.